rnacentral:rRNA from 1 species
GUGGGGAAUAUUCCGCAAUGGACGAAAGUCUGACGGAGCAACGCCGCGUGAACGAUGACGGCCUUCGGGUUGUAAGGUUCUGUUAUACGGGACGAAUGGUACGACGGCCAAUACCCGUCGUAAGUGACGGUACCGUAAGAGAAAGCCACGGCUAACUACGUGCCAGCAGCCGCGGUAAUACGUAGGUGGCAAGCGUUGUCCGGAAUUAUUGGGCGUAAAGGGCGCGCAGGCGGCGUCGUAAGUCGGUCUUAAAAGUGCGGGGCUUAACCCCGUGAGGGGACCGAAACUGCGAUGCUAGAGUAUCGGAGAGGAAAGCGGAAUUCCUAGUGUAGCGGUGAAAUGCGUAGAUAUUAGGAGGAACACCAGUGGCGAAAGCGGCUUUCUGGACGACAACUGACGCUGAGGCGCGAAAGCCAGGGGAGCAAACGGGAUUAGAAACCCCGGUAGUCC